GUGUCAUCACUACAGUAUGCCUGGUACUUUGCUAUGGAAGCAUCCUUUGACUUCAGUGUGGAUGACAUGUUUCUCCUGCGAAGAUGGUGGUGCAUUGUCCUAUUAGAAAACCUUGGCCUGGAAGGGUAUGGAAGGAAGUUUGCCCAUUUUACAGAAGAGGGACAGGCAACCCUUUCUACCAAUGUACCACCGGUAUUCAGGAUAAAAAGAAAAAGAGAACAUGAAAGCAGC